UAAAUGACGUUGAAAAGAUAAGUAAUAUUUCAAGUGAUAUACAGAAAAGCCGAUUAUGUUGAGAUUCGGUUAUCAUGCGGAUACGAAUAUGGUCUUGGAGUUAAGGUAAGAUGAGCAUUUUGAGUUGUAAAUCUUGCACGGGUACACCCGUUAUAGUGUUCACGUAUAGAAUUCAUUUUGUACGGUUGAGAGCUUCUUAGCUAAAUCCGGGUGGUACCACGAUAACUAUCGUCCCGCAG
rnacentral:ncRNA from 1 species